rnacentral:rRNA from 1 species
CAUUGGUGAGGAAUAACACGAGGAAACUUGUGCUAAUACCUCAUAAGUCUUCACGGAGAAAGCUUUAUGCGCCGAUGGAUGAGCCUGCACUUGAUUAGUUUGUUGGUAGGGUAAUGGCCUACCAAGACAAUGAUCAAUAGCUGAUUUGAGAGGAUGAUCAGCCACAUUGGGACUGAGACACGGCCCAAACUCCUACGGGAGGCAGCAGUAGGGAAUCUUGCACAAUGGGGGAAACCCUGAUGCAGCGAUGCCGCGUGAGUGAAGAAGGCCUUUGGGUUGUAAAGCUCUUUCGUCGGGGAAGAGAAUGACUGUA